rnacentral:rRNA from 1 species
UACGAAGGGGGCUAGCGUUGCUCGGAAUCACUGGGCGUAAAGGGUGCGUAGGCGGGUCUUUAAGUCAGGGGUGAAAGCCCGGAGCUCAACUCCGGAACUGCCAUUGAAACUGUAAGACUUGAGGAUGAGAGAGGUGAGUGGAAUUCCCAGUGUAGAGGUGAAAUUCGUAGAUAUUGGGAAGAACACCGGUGGCGAAGGCGGCUCACUGGCUCAUAUCUGACGCUCAGGCGCGACAGCGUGGGGAUCAAACAGG